UUGUUUUUGAAGAGUCUCGAAGUUUAACAAUUCGUUUUUCAAAGGGUAUUUUUUUAUGGUUGAAGUCUAUUUACUCAAAGUGCAAUAUUUUUCUACUAUUCCCAAACAAAACAAGGAUUAAAAGGUUUUAUGGUUCAAUUUCAAUCAGCUACUUUUUGCACCUAAUUCAUAAUUUUGGAAAAAGGUUAUAUGUAUUUAUAAGGCUAGGUAAUUUUAGGCAUUACUGAAUGUGAUUUCUUACAAAACCAAACCAAGGGAAACAUUCACAUGCAACACCUAUGAGCUUGUAUGAAGGAAACAUUUUUUCCAGAAAGAUCAAUGGCGCAUUCAGAGAAUCAAACUCUCGCACCCAAUGAGAGUAUCAUACCACUAGACCAAAUGCCCUAUUUCUAAGGAUAUUAGAUAUAAGGUUGAAGGUCACACAGUAUUGGCACUUUGUGAGCAUGUUCUCUUAGUAGAAUUUAGAAAAAUGAUUAAGGCUGAAUAUGAUAUUCUUAAAUCUAUUUCACCAUUAUUUUAUAUCAUUACCAGUCUUUGGUGACAAGAGAAAACUGCCAGUUUGAUUAUUUUCGUAAGAAAUUAGCUGCAAUAAGGGUUUGUUUUUUACGAGUAUGAAAGUUUAACGGUUAGUUUUUUCAAACAACUUUUUUUUUCAUGGUUGAAGCCCGUUUGGUCAGUGUACAAUAUGUUUUUGUUUUUUUUUUCUUUCAAAAUUAUGAUUAAAAGUUGUUUAUGGAUUUAGUUCAGUCUGUUGAAUUUUGGACCUAGUACAUAAACAUCUGGAAAGGGUUGUUAGUAAUAUAGACUAGGUUAUUUUUAAGAUUUGCUGAAUUUGGUUAGUUACAAAACCAUACCAAAGAAACACAUGUAAUACCUACUAGAGUUUGAUCUGUGCACCCGCACAGAUGUUUCAUUUUGUUUUAUUUUAUAAAUAAAUAUUUAUUUUUUAUAAAUUGCAAUAUAAAUUUUUAUAUUUAUGAGUAUUAAAUCAUUGUUAACAUGAAAUUUCUAAAUACAGUAAUUUUUAUAGUUUAUAUUGAAUAAUUUUACUUUGUCUCUUAAACCGUCCAUUAUAUCAUCUAUAUUUUAAGAAUAU
rnacentral:lncRNA from 1 species